UCGGAUCCUCCCGAGGCGAGUAAACGGAUCCGGUGUGUCUGUAGGUGUGUUUAUGUUGUUCACGCUCUCAGAGAGAGGAGUGUUCUCUGCUUCACGGGCUGAAAGACUUCUGCGCUGUGUGCUGUCAUUAUCAGAGCAUGUAGAAUAACAUGAAUCCCUGUUAAACAGGUUUUUUUCUUUCCACUGCCACAUGCUGGCAGAGCUGCUGAUGUGUCCUCGCUGUGCCGCCUCUUUAAUUGGGAGCACCGCACUCGGCAUUAGGUCAGCUGCGGUGUUUGAGAGUGUGGAGAGACGAUGUUGAAGGUUGUGAGUGAAGUCAGACCAACAUUAAACAAACGGCAAACAGCCGAAUAAUGGACUAUCGACGGAAAAAGAGGCUGACUUACGCCACCAUUGGGCUCAUGUUUCUUCUUAGUGGCGUGGAAUAUGCUGUAAUAUUGCCCACAAUAUGGAGGUACCUGCAAACUUUAGAUGCUGCGCCUUACUUCCUGGGAUUGGCGCUGUCAGCAUUCAGCUUGAGUGGCCUCCUGUCUGGGCCUCUGUUUGGCCACUGGUCUGACAGGACACAAACUACAAAGAAGAUCAUCUUGUUUUCAAACAUUUUUGAGAUAGUCGGUAAUUUCAUGUACUUCAUCGGCUACUCCAAGUGGCUCUUACUGUCAAGCAGAUUAGUAGCAGGCAUUGGCACAGGUGCUGGCUCAUCUAUCUUUGGCUUCCUGACUAGAAGUACUGCUCCACAAGACCGUGCUACAGUAUUUGCAGCUGUUAUGGCGUGUCGACAAGCUGGCCUUCUGAUUGGUCCAGCAUUUAACAUCUUCUUGAGGUUGUGUGAUUUCAAUCUGGGUCCAUUUGUUGUCAAUAAAUUUACUGCGCCUGGUUUGUUCAUGUGCCUGCUGUGGACUCUCCUUCAGCUGGUGGUGGUUUUCAUGUACUGGGACCUACCACCUCUGGAGAGAGGGACGGGGCAGGCUAGUCCAGCAAGGACGAGUGAGGUAGAAGAGAAAGAGCAUGGGCGUUUGCAAGAUGAGGAAGAUGACAACGAUGAGGACGAGCCGUUAAUGAGGUCCCAGGAGCUGGGUGGGUCCUACGGCUCAGUGGGGACUUCCAAACACCAGACAAACUGCAUCGCUACGGCGUCCAAUUCCUCACUGGAUCACAUCUCCCCACCUCUCUCUCCAGUGUUGUCAGGGACCCAGGAGUCCUCCAACCCCACAGAGAGUUGCAGUGUAUCCCGAGAAUUCCUAAAAGAAGAGGUGGUUGUGCUGCUGGCCGCUCAGUUCAUCACCCUCUUCAAUCAGACAGCACUGGAGACCAUGGUGACUCCAUUAACCCAGAAGUACUUUGGCUAUGGCGAGCUGGAGAACAGCGUCAUGUACUGUCUCUGUGGCGUCGAGGUGAUUGCUGGCUUUUUCUUUGUCCGUUGGCUGAGUCGACGUGUCGCAGAACGGGUAGUCCUGGUCAUUGGUUGGACCAUCUGCAACAUCUCUGGUGUCUGGUGCCUCAUCUUCCUGGCGAAGCCUCUUGGUGAUUUUCCAUGGCAGCUAACUGAGUUCAUCAUCGGAGUGUUUCUUCAGGUUUUGGGUUUGCCAUUUGUAGCUGUGGCUCAGGUUUCUCUUUUCUCCAAAGUCACCUCUGAGAAAACACAAGGUUUCAGUCAAGGAGUGCGUCGCUCAGUGGGAGGUCUCGCUACCAUCCUGGGCCCGCUGUGGGCUGGUGGCCUCACCGAGCACAUGUACAUCAUGUUAGGGGUGAUGAUGGCACUGCUGGUACUGAUAACAGUAAUGCUGGUAAUCUCAUAUGAGCGUCUGGUUGAACCCGCUGCUAAGGAGCAAGCCGACAGCCGUCACAGCUCUGCUUAAUCUCGUCGGAAAAGCUGAUACAAAAGAAAACGCCUCCCGAGCCAUUCAAAUAUUCAGAACUUCAAAGGAGUUUGAUAUCUGCUGGAGAGAAUCUUGAAUACAACAUCUUGCACAUAUAGAGAUGAGUCCUGGGAGGCUGCAGUUGGAACACUAAGCAGACCUGCUAUCGUCGGUUUUCUCCCAAAGUCUGCCAGGAAACUUUAGCCUGCCUCUGUAGAACAUUUCGCAGAUUAGAUAUGAAAGACAAUAAAAUAUGUCUCUUGUGAUAUGUCUUACCAUGUGCUGCACAACACCGCUUUGACUGGACUUUGGCUGCAGC